CCUUUGUUGAGAAGUCCCUUUUUCCCUAGCUCCAUCAGAGCAUGCGCCUGGCGCCUUUCAUCUCGCCAUUCACUCAGCAGAGGUGUGAUUUAAGCAAUCAGUUUGGGUGAAGACCUGAGUAUACACGGCUCAGUUGCUUCUUCUUCGCUCAGGAACACCUAAUGUCUGGUCUCUCUGCUCUUGGCCAUGUGGUGAAUCUGUUUAGAGACCAUCAUUUAGGCAACGCUGCCUCCCGCCUGCCUAUGCUGCCUUCUCCCACAGCUCAUAGUGAUAAAGCAGAUGUUUCCAGUCCCAUCUGCCUGACCUCAGCUCCAGACCCUUCAAUGUAGCUGAUGACAGCAAUGUGUUUCUCAAACUGAGAAAAUCCUGAAGAGCUUGAUGGACGAUAAGCAGCCACUAAUGGAUGGGGGAAAUGUGAUCACUAAUGGAGAGGAGACUGGCUUAGGACAUGGGCCUGGGAGAAGCCCCAGAGGCUUUGUUUCAUGGUCAGUUUGAACAGAUUAGACUACUGGAUGCUCACAGUGCUGCUGGCUGCUGCUUCCAAGAAAGAUUGACAUGUUUGUCUUGACAUCUCGCUUCAGGAAUGGAUGGAUACACAGGGAAGCAUAAAUUUGGGACUAAAGUGUUCUAACAUUUCUCAUGCGGUCUGCAAGAGGGUACUGAACUAAAAUCCUCAGAUUGGAAUUUGCUGUGCUAACUAUAUGCAUUGUUUGGAGAACAGUGAACAUUCAAAAUUGUAUUCACAUAUGGGCAGUCCCAGGUUCACAGAGGUAGCAGGAUGGAGACUGAGCGCAGACUGCAUAAUUGGCAAAGGAAAUUUAUACUGUAGAAGACCCUCAGUAGGACCUGAUGUGUUGAUGCUGAAUGCACCAGUAGGAACUUCCUAUGCUACCAAGACCUGCUAUGGUCAUUCAAGAUUUGGUGGAGAGAUUUUCCUCAUUAAAGGAAAACUUUGACUCUUCAAUUUCACAUUCCUAUUUGAUAAUAAGUACUUUCUGAGUUGAAGUCCCAUAAGGCCCACUCAUGGCCACCCAUAGACAAAUCAGCAUGCACUUCUUCCCAUCAGAGCCCAUAAAAACCCUGGACUCAGCCAGACUUGGACAGAUAUCAGGACUACCAGCUGCUGGAAGAAGCUACCCUCUUUGACUUGUUGGGAUGACCUGCCUGUGGAAAGGAGCUACCCACUGCAGGUCUCCUCUCCACUGAGAGCUGGACAUUCAUUGGGAUGACCUGCCUGCAUAAAGGAGCUACCCACUUUGGGUCUCUUGAGAGCUGUUCUGUCACUCAAUGUAGCUCUUCUCUCUGCCUUGCUCACCCCCCAGUUGUCUGUGUACCUCAUUCUUCCUGGACGUGGGGCCAGAACUCAGGAUCUUCUAAAUGGCAGGACUGAAAGAGCUGUAACAAACCAGGCUGAAACAUGCCUGUCUCCCACUUGCCAUGUUGUGGGUGAUGAAGAGAGAAGAGCUACAGCUGGUAGUGCAAACUGAGCACAGCCAGCUGGGCCAGGUGGGCAGAAUGAACCCAGAGGGCAUGAGUUAUACUCAAGCAGAGGGCGCCACUGGCCACAGAAGUUUCUGGCUGGCAAAGUGACACCCCAAGGAUCCCAUGACAGCAUGUGAGAUAUAUCUGAAAUCUGCUUCCUAGACAGACAUACCUCAUUUCUUCAUCUUCAGCUUUUUGCUCAACCGUCAUCCUAUCAGUGAGGCCAUCCCUAACCACCCUACUUCAAGUUGCAGCAUUUGUUUACUCCUUGGCAGGCUCUUUCUCCUUUCUCUGCUUUAUUUUUCAUCAAUACAUUCAGUUUCUUGUAAAAUAUUGUCUUUUAAAGAUAAUUAUUAUUUGGUUUCAUCCCCUUUAAUAAAAUGUAAUUUUUCUGUGAAGGCAGAAAUUUGCAUGUGUUUAGUUCAUUCCUAUCACCUAGGAAAGUACUUGAAUUUUAGUAUAUUUCAAAUGGAAUUUGUUGAAUAAAGAAUCAAAUAAAGAUUCCUGGAACAAAUAAUAUGUACCUCUAUCUUAACUGAUGACCUAAACAAAUAUUUUC
rnacentral:lncRNA from 10 species